CAUCUCUAGCAGCCGCUUCUGCUCACUUGAAGACAAUCUUACACAAGUGCAGCCUGUUCCCUGCCUCUGUGUUUCCCAGGGACUCCUCAAACACACAUCAGGAAUCAGAUAUGGGCUAAACAGAACAAAAGACUGAUGGAACAAGAGAGCUUCAGGGGCAGGGGGCAGAUGACUUUGCUUCAUGGAGUGAAAUUAGACUGCCACUUAAGAUACAAACCACUUGUACUGCACCACCUUGUCAUUUAUUUCAUCAGUCUUCAAAAUCAGAAGCGCAGAAGCCCGUCCUGCCCCCAGGGCUGCCACCAGACAAGCCAGCCCUGAAUAUGGCUGUGGCUCAAUGCAGCCAUGAAGGCAGAGGAAAUUCAGCUAUCCAGCUUGUCAGAAGCAAUAAAUACUGUGUAUCACAAGAAAAUCAUUCUGACUGGUGGAAAGUAAGGGAUUUGGAAGGGUACAUAUGCCCUGCAGAAGGAUUUUGUUCCAUGACCAAAAUCUUCCACAUAUCUCAUCUUCAAAGACAAGACUGCAGACAGUCCUGGCAGAUUUCAGGAUCUAUGUUAGAAUUACCUCAGUAGAUUUAAACAUUGCUCUACAAGCCUCGUUGUCUUCUAUACAACUCCAUUUUCGAUGCCAUCCUUGGCUGGUAGGUUGAAUAAAAUUUACAGCAGUCACUGCCUAGUGCAAUAACUAAGAUAUCCAGUGGCCUUAUUUUUCACAGGUGCCUGAAGAAGGACUUGUCUAUGCAGAACACAUACAUUUUUUCCGAUUAUUUAGUUCAUGUGAAUAAAAAGAAAAAAUCUCUC